rnacentral:rRNA from 1 species
UACGAAGGGGGCUAGCGUUGUUCGGAAUUACUGGGCGUAAAGCGUAUGCAGGCGGAUCAUUAAGUCGGGGGUGAAAUCCCGAGGCUCAACCUCGGAACUGCCUUCGAUACUGAUGAUCUUGAGUCCGGGAGAGGUGAGUGGAACUGCGAGUGUAGAGGUGAAAUUCGUAGAUAUUCGCAAGAACACCAGGUGGCGAAGGCGGCUCACUGGCCCGGUACUGACGCUGAGAUACGAAAGCGUGGGGAGCAAACAGG